rnacentral:tRNA from 1 species
GGCUUGUUGGUCUAGUGGUAUGAUUCUCGCGUGGGGUGCGAGAGGUCACGGGUUCGAUUUCCGUGCAAGCCC